rnacentral:rRNA from 1 species
AAUGAACGCUGGCGGCAGGCCUAACACAUGCAAGUCAAACGGCUUCUUCGGAAGCAGUGGCGCACGGGUGCGUAACACGUGGGAAUGUACCCUUAGGUACGGAAUAACUCAGGGAAACCUGCGCUAAUACCGUAUAAUAUCUCCGGAUCAAAGAUUUAUCGCCUAGGGAUCAGCCCGCGCCUGAUUAGUUUGUUGGUGAGGUAAAAGCUCACCAAGACUACGAUCAGUAGCUGGUCUGAGAGGAUGAUCAGCCACACUGGAACUGAGACACGGUCCAGACUCCUACGGGAGGCAGCAGUGAGGAAUAUUGCACAAUGGAGGAAACUCUGAUGCAGCCAUGCCGCGUGAGUGAAGAAGGCCCUAGGGUUGUAAAGCUCUUUCAGUAGUGAAGAUUAUGACGGUAACUACAGAAGAAGCUCCGGCUAACUCGUGCCAGCAGCCGCGGUAA